rnacentral:misc_RNA from 1 species
UCCGGCUUAUCACCGGCAGUCCCACUAGAGUGCCCAACUGAAUGAUGGCAACUAAUGGCAAGGGUUGCGCUCGUUGCGGGACUUAACCCAACAUCUCACGACACGAGCUGACGACAGCCAUGCAGCACCUGUCACCGGCCAAUUGAAGAGCCCUGUCUCCAGGGCCCCGACCGGGAAGUCAAGAGCUGGUAAGGUUCUUCGCGUUGCCUCGAAUUAAUCCACAUCAUCCACCGCUUGUGCGGGUCCCCGUCAAUUCCUUUGAGUUUUAAUCUUGCGACCGUACUCCCCAGGCGGUCUACUUCACGCGUUAGCUGCGUUACCGAAGGAGUUACCCUCCGACAACUAGUAGACAUCGUUUAGGGCGUGGACUAC